rnacentral:rRNA from 1 species
CCCCCCCCCCACCUGUGGUGGGGGGGGGCCGUAAAACCAUGGGCGGCUCAGACCAUGUGGUGACAGAGCCCCCCCGUAUGGGGGCGAUGAGAACCCACUCCCCCAAUGUCGAAGGGGCUAACCCCCCCCUCCCCUGGGGGGGGGACAGUGCAAGCAGGACAGUUUGGUUGGGGCGACCGCCUUUUAAAGGGUAACGAAGGCGCACUUAAGGUCCCGCGGGCAAUAGCGGUGGCCUGACUGCGAGGGGGGUGCGCCCCGAGCAGACACCCGGGGCCCCCCGGGGUUUUGGGGGGCCGGCCGGGUGGGUUAUAGUGACCCGUUAAUUUUAUUGUGGGGAUAGUUACCGAUCAACGGAUAAAAGUUACCGCGGGGAUAACAGCGUAAUAUCGU